ACCGCUCUGGGGUAACGGCAUCCCGUCGCGCUCUGGUCGCGAAGAUCUGGGUUCGAGUCCUGGGCGCGGUGCCA
rnacentral:tRNA from 1 species